rnacentral:rRNA from 1 species
CAGCCGCCACGGUAAAACGUAGGGGGCAAGCGUUAUCCGGAAUUACUGGGUGUAAAGGGAGCGUAGACGGUUAAACAAGUCUGAAGUGAAAUGCCGGGGCUCAACCCCGGAGCUGCUUUGGGAACUGUAGAACUGGAGUGUCGGAGGGGUAAGCGGAAUUCCCAGUGUAGCGGUGAAAUGCGUAGAUAUUGGGAGGAACACCGGCGGCGAAGGCGGCUUACUGGACGACAACUGACGUUGAGGCUCGAAGGCGUGGGUAGCAAACAGGAUUAGAUACCCGUGUAGUCCCUGUCUCUUAUAC